AAAAAUCUAUGGACUGUAAGUCAAAAAUUUAAGUAGUGGAGUUUGUAGCACGUUAGUCAUACAUCGAAAGAUAUGAGAAAAAUUUGUUGGUAUAUAUGACAUUUUGCGUGAGUAUGUAGUGGGGCUAAAAUGAUCUAAGAAGAUACUAUUAGACUAAUGUUUAAGUUCUUAUUUGGAUGAAUUUGAUUCGAUUCGGAUUUGAGAUUUUGAUCCGAGAUUUGUAAUAAUAAUAGAAUCUUAU
rnacentral:lncRNA from 1 species